rnacentral:rRNA from 1 species
CUAGGGCUAAUACGUGCGAAGCGCCCGAAGCCGCGAGGCGACGGGCGUUCUCGCCGGAUGUAGGAACCGACCCGGGGGACCGCCGGGGCAACCCGGCGCCCCCGAGACGGGGCGAACCACGGUGAAAUGACGGAUCGUCGGCCCCGCGCCGGCGACUCGCCGAAUGAGUUCUGACCUAUCAACUCGAGACGGCGGGGUAGAGGCCCGCGCGGUAACGACGGUAACGGGGAAUCAGGGUUCGAUUCCGGAGAGGGAGCCCGAGAAAACGGCUACCACUUCCAAGGAAGGCAGCAGGCGCGCAACUUACCCUAAUCUCGAUUCGAGGAGGUAGUGACAAGAAAUACCGAUGCGGGACCCUACGGGUGCCGCGUUCGGAAUGAGUACGAUUCGAACCACCUAACGAGGAACGAUCGGAGGGCAAGUCUGGUGCCAGCAGCCGCGGUAAUUCCAGCUCCAAUAGCGUACGUUAAAGUUGCUGC